rnacentral:lncRNA from 1 species
GUGUUCUUUUUGAAUGAUGAAAUUAUCAUUCAUUAUAUAAUGACUCUGUUGUAUUAUCCGAUGAUGGUUGGAUUAACUGAGCCAUCCUCAGAUCUGAUCAUUCAUUAGUUAGAAAUACUGAGUAGGUUCAUGUUAAUGGUUUGACCUAACUGAAACUUUCAGUGGAGGCCCAUCGCAACUGAAAUGAAAUCUGGAGUAAAAUUAAUUACUAAAAAUUAUUUAGAGAAAUAAUUGAUUGAAAACCUACCCAUAGAUGCAUA